CCAGGCUUGAACUGCGAGUGACAUCCUACGAAAGUAGGCUUCCGCAAGGACACUCGUAGAGGUGCUGCAUGGCUGUCGUCAGCUCGUGUCGUGAGAUGUUGGGUUAAGUCCCGCAACGAAGAGACUGCCGGUGACAAACCGGAGGAAGGUGGGGAUGACGUCAAGUCAGCAUGGCCUUUAUGUCUGGGGCCACACACGUGCUACAAUGGCCGGUACAAACCGUCGCGAGCCCGCGAGGGGGAGCUAAUCGGAGAAAGCCGGUCUCAGUUCGGAUUGUAGGCUGCAACUCGCCUGCAUGAAGUUGGAAUCGCUAGUAAUCGCGGAUCAGCACGCCGCGGUGAAUACGUUCCCGGGCCUUGUACACACCGCCCGUCACAUCACGAAAGCCGGCUGUACUAGAAGUCGCUGCGCUAACCCGCAAGGGGGGCAAGCGCCUAAGGUAUGGUCGGUGAUUGGGGUG
rnacentral:rRNA from 1 species